GGAAUUGUUCGCAAUGGGCGCAAGCCUGACGACGCAACGCCGCGUGGAGGAUGAAGAUUUUCGGAUCGUAAACUCCUGUCGAAUGGGACGAACAGAUCUCGGGUGAACAAUCCGAGGUCCUGACGGUACCGUUAAAGGAAACCCCGGCUAACUCCGUGCCAGCAGCCGCGGUAAUACGUAGGUGGCAAGCGUUGUCCGGAUUUACUGGGCGUAAAGAGCGCGCAGGCGGUCGUUCAAGUCGCGUGUGAAAGCCCCCGGCUCAACUGGGGAGGGUCACGCGAUACUGAUCGACUCGAAGGCAGGAGAGGGUAGUGGAAUUCCCGGUGUAGUGGUGAAAUGCGUAGAUAUCGGGAGGAACACCAGUGGCGAAGGCGACUACCUGGCCUGUUUCUUGACGCUGAGGCGCGAAAGCUAGGGGAGCAAA
rnacentral:rRNA from 1 species